rnacentral:lncRNA from 1 species
UCCUGUGUUGGAACUGUUGAGGACUCGGCAAUCCUCGGACAAUUAAUGCAUUGAAGGAUUUAUUUACUAGUUAGAAGCUAGAUAUUUUAUUUUUUAUGGAAACAAAAUCUCUUAGUUCUUGUAUGAAAUUUUUUCAUAGUUUUUUACAUUUUGAUGGUUGCUUCUCAGUCAAUAGACAAUGAUUAGGAGGAGGCCUUUCGUUGAUGUGGAAGAGUCAUGUGUCUGUUUCUGUGGUUGAUUUUUCUUUAAAUUUUA